rnacentral:tRNA from 1 species
GGUUUAAUGGUCUAGUGGUUAUGAUUUCUGUCUCACACACAGAAGGUCUUGAGUUCGAUCCUCAAUUAAACCA